CUUAAAUUACGAGUACUCUUCAUUUUUAUUUGACGAGGAGCACGAACUAGACGAUUUCUGUCUGGCUUUUCAGUUCUACGUUUGGCUCAUAUUGAGUUAUAUCGGUGUUAAAGUUCCGAGACGAGCAUACGGUAAGUUGUACAUGAGGGCGUCAGCAAUUCCAGGGGCAGAGCCAAGCCGCUGCCUACUAUUAAGUACUCUCCGCAAGUCUCGUUUGAAGAAGAAAUCUAGAAUCUUUGAAGAAGGUAUCUACAGAAAAUAAUAUUUCGCUUUUGCAUUUUUAUAGUCUAUAUAUAUGACUUCAAGAAAAGGCGAAACAGCGAAGCUGACUGAUAUGACGAUCUUCCAAAAAUGGUUAAGAAAUUAACCUUAAGCUAUAUCUGCUUCUUUAUUCCGAAUACGUCCCGCGUCGAACCUGUAUUUGGCGUAUUAAAGCAUCAAACAGCGACAAGGUUGUCCUUUGUAGAUGUAUGGUACCAACGUAUAGAUUAUACAUAUUACGUAGCGUAAAGUCAAUUAAGCCGGAGGUACCGGGCGCUUGGAACGUGAGUUUUCAUUAAACUCGAGCAUUCUGCAUAUUGAAGCGAUGUGUGUUCUAUAUUGGUGUAUUUUCUGUCAAACAACAAUUUAAAGUGUAUAAAGGGAAAACAAAAAAAAUUAUUUGUCACUAUCUUGUUAAAAAACUGUCUCCCUUCAUGGCUAUCAGUGCAUUCUCUCAAGUUUUAUUCUUAUUUUUUGGCCAAUGAACUCUAAUUUAAGUUGGCGCAUAUAGGUAUGACAGAGUGAAUACUGCCUUGCCCUUUGUGACAUUACGUAUAAGACUCAAUAGUAUGGUACGUAAUCACCACGCUGCCUAUUUCUAACAUGAAACAGUUUUACGUUCCGGUUUGACUAUUACACUUUGACUCGGCUACAGGAGUUUUCUGCUUAAUUACGUAAAAAUAUCUACGACCAUUGUGAACGCUCCAGAUGUCUCUAACGUUGUUCUACAAGGCUCUGUUUUUAAUCAAACUCCUGGGAUGAAAGGUGACGUAGAUACAUUAUUAUUAAAACUCCAUAUGUUUUUAAAUGUUACUACAUUCUUUACUAUACAUUAUAAAUCGUUAAGUGUAGAUGUUACAUUAUGAAAAAUAUUGCUAAUUGCCUUAUGUAAGGGACACGUUCCCUAAGGAGAGCUGGAUUUUUGAAAAUUCCUAAUGUUUGUGCCAAACAUACAAUGUAAGCCAAUUAAAAGAACGACGCGCGGGGUCAACGUUCGAGCACGACACGGGAAUGGCGUCUGUCAAUUGUCUUAAAUUGCGGGUAGCACGGAAAUUGAUUGGCUAAUAAGAAAAUAUUUUUUUAGUGACAAAUGAAUAUAUUUUUAUAUUUUUUAUGAUUGAAAGUUUACUGGUGGCCCGAAGGCCUUUCCAGUUUCAUCAGGACAGGUGGGCGAGCAAAGGCUCAGCUAGGAGGGGUGGGAUUUGCUAACCGCUGCCCGAGCGCCUCCGAAGGAGACCUAACAACUCAAGAGCAGCUGCUUCGCGAAUGAAUCUAUUUCCGGAUCGGAAUCGCGACCCGCUGAGAAGAUCCGGCGAGAUUCUUAGCGAGCUGAUGGAUGGGUUAGGUUGCACGAGUACGGUUACCAGGAUCCCUAAGCCUGCUCCUAGUGUUAGAGCUGAAGGCGUCUAAUGCUAAGGUUAUUGGAUCUGAUGGAUCCGUAAGGACGUGUCUAGGGCGUCGACGAUGACUGGCUCUUGCGACAAAUGAAUAUCGCUAUUCAAUCACCGCACUGGUUUUGCGAUCACCUUUUAGAUAAAGUUAAUAAAGAUACAUGUACUGUUCCUGUCGGCUUUUCGUCUACUCGUUGGCAGUAAUUUAUAAUUCUAAGUGCCUUAACACAAAACGGAAUGGCACGGAAACGAAAAGUGAAAACAAAGUAAAGAUUCGCUCGAAGAAUUUCGGUCGAUGAUGUAGCGAACAUCGCGUAGUCUGACUUUAUGUGUUUCCUGCAAGAAGUGGCAGGUCUCAACAUCGGCCCGUAAUAAUGAGUACCGACUGAUGGUUUCGGCUCCGGGGCUGUCGUGUCCAGGUCAGGAGAAACGGCGUUUUAUUGAUAUAAUAUUUUUUGCAAGCAAAAACACUGCGCUAUAUUAACUUUGAUCUUAAGUUUUGAAACGAAGUUCCUUAUGGGACGAUGCGGAGGGGUACCAUAAUCGGGAAAAAACGUCCGUAGCGUAAGAUUUUUAUUAUUUAUGUAUAGUCUUAGUGUGAUGGCUAUACAGUGUCUAAUGUAUGGACUCUACGUGAUGACGGUUAUUAUUAUUAUUCAUAUAAAUAGCUGUUUCUUUGUAUAAUAAUAUUCUAUAUUUUUUAUAAAUCAUUGUGAUUAAAAUAAAGUUGAUAACUUUUUAAA